rnacentral:rRNA from 1 species
UACGUAGGGUGCAAGCGUUGUCCGGAAUUAUUGGGCGUAAAGAGCUCGUAGGCGGUUUGUCGCGUCUGCUGUGAAAAACCCGAGGCUCAACCUCGGGCCUGCAGUGGGUACGGGCAGACUAGAGUGCGGUAGGGGAGAUUGGAAUUCCUGGUGUAGCGGUGGAAUGCGCAGAUAUCAGGAGGAACACCAAUGGCGAAGGCAGAUCUCUGGGCCGUAACUGACGCUGAGGAGCGAAAGCAUGGGGAGCGAACAGG